rnacentral:tRNA from 1 species
AUCUAAAUAGUUUAAUAAAAAUAUUGGUUUGUGGUGCCAGGGAUACAUUUUGUUGUUUUGGAUU